GUUCUGACCGUGGCCGUGACUCCCAGCCGCACGCCCUGACACACUUCCCCGGUGCCAGGUCGCGGCGGAUGGGGAUCACGACUCCGGAUCGGAUCCCG
rfam:Microbacterium aurum strain KACC 15219, complete genome.